rnacentral:rRNA from 1 species
AUGGACACACGCAGAGUCGAGUACAACAUCAUCUCGGGGACGUCUGCGGCGUGCCCGCACGUCGCCGGUGUCACGGACUCUGAUCAUGAGAUACAUUCGGCACAGAUGGCGAACGCCAGCCCGCUCGACAAGAUCACAAGAGCGGCGGGGGCAUCCUCGACAUCAGCACUGUCGGGGGCAGGACGCGGCUGGUGGCCGGGGCCGGGCCGGGUUCGUCGUCCCGCGGCUGACUUGAGUUGCUUCCGGCAUGGACGCGGCUGGUGGCCGGGGCCCGGUUCGUCCUCUCCCGUGACGCUAAGGCCCUGA